rnacentral:rRNA from 1 species
GACGAACGCUGGCGGCGUGCUUAACACAUGCAAGUCGAACGGAAAGGCCCAGCUUGCUGGGUGCUCGAGUGGCGAACGGGUGAGUAACACGUGGGUGAUCGGCCCCUAACUUCGGGAUAAGCUUGGGAAACUGGGUCUAAUGCCGGAUAGGACAAUCGUUUAGUGUCGGUUGUGGAAAGUUUUUUCGGUUAGGGAUGAGCCCGCGGCCUAUCAGCUUGUUGGUGGGGUAAUGGCCUACCAAGGCGUCGACGGGUAGCCGGCCUGAGAGGGUGGACGGCCACAUUGGGACUGAGAUACGGCCCAGACUCCUACGGGAGGCAGCAGUGGGGAAUAUUGCACAAUGGGCGCAAGCCUGAUGCAGCGACGCCGCGUGGGGGAUGACGGCCUUCGGGUUGUAAACCUCUUUCGACAGGGACGAAGCUUUGGUGACGGUACCUGUAUAAGAAGCACCGGCUAACUACGUG